CAAGCGCCAUUAAAACAAAGAUUAAAUCAAAAUUUUAUUCGAAAUAUCUAUUCAAAAAAGAAAAUGAGGCGAGAAUUACAAUGGAUGACGAGAAAUUAAUAGCUCUUAUUGAAGCUAAAAAUAAGCCAUACAACAAAAAUAGUCCAUACUACAAGCUGCAGUCCCGGAUAGAUGCUUUGUGGCAGGAAAUCGGGAAAAAAAUAAACGCAAGUGAAGAAAUGUGUCAGCGUAGAUGGCUAGCACUUCGGGAUCAAUACGGGAGGGAGCUAACGCCCCCUCAGGCAGCGAAUUGGAAUUUAUUAAGUAGUGGCAUUUGAUGAUUCUAUAAAGUUCUUGACCACAUAUUGUACCACGACCGGUUGAAACCGUGACUCAAGUGCUACCCGCUGUCGCUGAUCAGGGUGAAUCGCAAUCACCAGCUGACGCAGCUCAAUUGCUGCCACAAGAACAUGCGCACGAGGUGCAAAUGUCAUCACCAUUAUGGCCCUUGUCGCCAUUAAGCCAGUCACCAUCGCCUCCUUUCUCAACUCCUUCCACCACAACCUCUCAGCCUUCACCGUCCUGCUCUACGCAAGU
rnacentral:misc_RNA from 1 species